rnacentral:misc_RNA from 1 species
CCUAUACAGAUUAAUUACCCGGGUUCUUUCUCUUAGUCUAUUGAUUGAUUAAAACAUUAUACAACCAGGGCAUAUACAUCAUGCAUUAAAACAAGAACAGGGCUUGAAAUGAAAUUUAGACUUGCCAUUACGUCCCAAGAUAUGCAAGAACUGUGGAUCAUCUAGAUUACAGUGCCGCUUGGAAUCAAGGCGUCCUUGAUUACAGUAACAAUUCCACUCUUUAUGAAAUAUCCAUCAGUUUCUCUCGCUGCUUCUUGCACAUUGUCACCAUUAAUGAUCUUCACAUCGGCUCCAAUUCGAGCAUUUUUGUCAAUAAUGGCUCUCUUAAUAUGAGAAUUCUUGCCAAUACCAAUUGGAACACUACCCUUUGCUGCCAGAAACCUCCUGUCAGCAUCAGUCUCAUAAUAAUCUGCUCCCAUUAAUAAUGUGUCCUCUAUGACUGCACCUUCUGAUAUGCAGGAUCGAAGCCCAACCACUGAGUGGUGAAUUUUACAGUUCUUAAUAACACAACCCUCACCAAUAACACUAUCUGUAACAUCAGCAUCAAGCAUCUUGGAUGGAGGCAAAUAGCGAGGUUGAGUAUAGAUUGGAGAUGAACGAUCAUAGAAGCUGAAAUCUGGCACUGGCUUUUUAGUUAUACCAAGAUUGGCAUUGUAAAAUGCCUCGAUUGUACCAAUAUCUUCCCAGUAGCCAUCAUAUAAGUAAGCUUGCACUCUCAUCCCAAUGGAAGUAGCACCAGGAAUAACUUCACUUCCAAAAUCAUUGGCUCCAGGAAACUUAUCUCUUAGAAGAUCUAACAUCACAUUUUUGCUGACCACAUAUAUCCCCAUACUAGCAAUAUAGGGCAACUCUUUUGCUCUCUCAUCAUCAAGACCUAAAAUUGUAGUAUCAA